rnacentral:sRNA from 12 species
UGGAAGUGCCUUUCUUGAACUGGACUGGUUUGUGCGUGAAGAACAUCAAUCAUCCCAGUUCAGGGGGCGCUUUCUUUAUUUCGACACGCCGCUACCCGCCGGGGGCAUCGGUGGAUUCAG